GGGGAUUUAUCUCAGGGGUAGAGUGCUCGCUUCGCAUUAUGCAAUCGUGUGAUCAAUGUGCAAGCUUGCGAGAAGUCGAGGGUUCAAAUCCCUCAAUCUCCA